rnacentral:misc_RNA from 1 species
UUGCCCCCACACACUCCAUCUAAGGAUAAACCUCAAUGGAAACGCUUGCCUGGCAAGCCUCUGCCUUCUGGUUUACUUGGAACAAGACGGAAGAGAGUCACUCUUACCGUCGUGCAUACCUUAAGCGGGUCUGCCGCCUUCGUUUCUCUUUCUUCGCGAAUGACUAACCUCCCUUUGGCUCUGCCCACAAGGCGUGCCUUGCCGGUGCAACAUGGUGCCAGCAGGGUUCGGUUUAGGGCUUGUAGCUCAGUUGGUUAGAGCGCGCGCUUGAUAAGCGUGAGGUCGGAGGUUCAAGUCCUCCCAGGCCCACCAUUUCCUUGACAAAAGGUAUCAGGGGCCGUAGCUCAGCUGGGAGAGCGCCUGCUUUGCAAGCAGGAUGUCGUCGGUUCGAUCCCGUCCGGCUCCACCAUUACCUUGGUGUUGAGUAGAGAUGAAAACCGGUUGGCAGGUCAUUCGUUUUAAGUUUGCGGCGAGCCUCCGGCUCUCCGCCUGUUCUGUAUGACAUCGUAAAGAGAAGAUUUGUUCGAACUUCAUGGCCCGAAAGGAUCAUGAUUUGUCGCGGGAGACGCUCAAUCUCCCGCAUAUGAUGGGUUUGCCUAACCGCACCCUCGAACCGAUCUCGAGAAGCUGGUCUUUUUGUGCCAAUGACAUCCAGUGAUAAUCCUGCACAGGAUUUAGCUGAAGCGACGAUCCCUUUGGGAUCGCGCAGGUGGGCAUUGGCAAUGAGAACGAUCAAGUGUCUUAAGGGCAAUUGGUGGAUGCCUUGGCAUGCACAGGCGAUGAAGGACGUGAUACGCUGCGAUAAGCUACGGGGAGGUGCGAAUACCCUUUGAUCCGUAGAUUUCCGAUGGGGAA